GGUUCGUUUGAAACUGAGGAUGGUUUUCCUUGAUGAUUUGCCUGGGUUGAAUCUUUAUACCAUUUUUAUCUUGUUUUGCAUAAAACAAAAGAGUGUGCAUGAGAAAUUUAACAAGGCAUCACAAUUAAAAUAGUAAUUAACUACCAAUAAAACAAACAUAAUUCAGUGAUAAUAUUUUCUCAGCUUGGCUAAUGACAAGUGGGAACAAAGCAGGCACCUUGCAAUGUCAAUUUGGAACUCUUUAGAGCAAAGCUAUUUAUUAAAACAAGGAAGAAGCAUAAUAACUGGAAUUUCUUUUCAUAGUGCACUAAACUCAAAUGCUGUAAGAUUAUCCAAAGCUUAAACAGAAAGCUCCAAAAAAUGGGAGAAAGCAUGAAAUAGGGAUAUCAUUGCUUGCUUUCAGUGAUGAGCCUUGGCUUCGGCUUUCUGAUGAGACUUGGCUUUUGCCUGAAAGUAGAACAAAAGUGAAAAGAGAAUCAAAAUCAACAACAGCACACCGAAAAGCCAAACAGAAGUUCUACAAAGUGCACAAGAAUCAUAAGACCCAGGUUGCAGGGUAAAGCCACUUCAACUUGCUACAGAAUGUAGAAAGAGAUAAAAAUGGGAGAACAUUGACAGUGAGAGUGUGACACAAGUUAGCAAAAAAUGUAACACAAUAAAUGUCGUUGGAUUAAAUAUAAUUUACAUAUAUAUGUAAAUUUUGGAUCAAUCUGAACCUUUCAGUAUUUUUAUUUGACUAUGAAGCACAAAUAAAAACAAGUAUCCGAUUUGACACCCAUGUCACAAGGGAUUGAAUAUUUCCAUAAAAAAUAUAGAAUAUGGAUAUGACAGGAUACAGCAUAAUACAUGAAAAAAUUAUAUAUAUUAUCCUAUAAAACAUGAAAAAACAUAAAACAACCAUUGUAUGAUAAGUUAAAGGUAACAUUGAAAAGACCAUAUCAUGACUAAUGUGGAAAUGGAGGGAAAAAAAAAUUCAGCCUUAGUCAUUAAACAUACUAACUAUGAGGAGUAUCCAGUACUAUAAUACUGUAUGACUGUAUCCAAUUUCGUUGUGGUGAAUGGAAGGGCUGGAAUAUUUUGGAAAUAUUGGAUGGUUCAAAAAACAAACCAUUAAUCCAUUUGUGAUCUAUUAAAAACUAAUAAAAUCCAAUCUAGCCAUGACGCAUUUAGUAAAUCACUAACCAGACCAUCUAUUUACCCAUUUUCGUGGAUGAAUAUCCAAUCCCUCCAUUUUAAAUUAUUUCACUUUUUACAGUUAGCUUUAUUUGUUAUUUAUUUUCUCAAUCCAUCACCAAGCAAGGUCCACCUGAGUUAGAGAUCUCUAUCUCCAAUAGUCAAAUUGAACAUUUAUGACUGAACUAUAAUGAAUAAAACAAUUGACACCCUAUCAAUGUUACCAGGCAAAAAAUGGAAUAUUGUAGCAACUCAUAUUUUGAUUAAGACUAAACCAAAGGAUUCUGUAACACUUUUACAUAUGUAAAAAAGGACUAUAUAGCCACGACAGCGGAACAUGGCUUAGAUUAAUCAUUUUCUCAAUUUUGCCAGAGAAAUGAGCUAAAUCACUGGUUCUGAGGAAUGAUUCACACUUUCAUAGAUAUGAUGGCAAAGCAGAGGAACAACACAGGCGAACCAGAAACAGAAGAGAACAACCACAAUGGUAAGAAGUAUUGUCCAGAUCCAGAUCUAUUCUGCUAUUCUUGUUGCAUACAUUUAGGGGGUUUUCUUCAUCAGGAUCUGAAAACGGGAUUUUAUCAUUAAAAAAUGAAAAUAGUGAUUGUUAUCGGUGGAAUAGCUUUCAGUUUAGGGUUUUCUAUUGUCUUUAGGUUAAUUAUGUUUUUUAGAGAUUUAGGCCUGGAUCGUAAAUUGAUCCAUUUAUUGAUAAUCUAAAGGUUUAAAAGAUACAUUGGAUAGUUCACAAACAUCCACUAAUCAAAGCAAAUCCAUCCUGACCAAUCCAUUAGAUUUCUUUCAUUCUUUUUACCGGAUGGACAAGGAUGGUUUUAUGCAAGGACGGACUGAUUGGACCAUAGAUAAAUUGACACACUACCACCCUUAACCCAAUUAAGCCACACACAUUGAACUUUUGAAGUAUAUUUCCCCAGGAUCAUGGAACUGUGAAACAUUUAUCACUAAUAUGCUCAAGUAACAAACUAGCACAGGGAUGUAAUUAAAACUAAGACUGCAAAUCUAGACCAAAAGUACCAUCAAUCAGGAUCUUCAAGCUGAAGUUUUGAUUCAUCAUUCAUCAAAGCAACAACAAUAAAUUUGUAAUGUCCAUUCUAACAAUUACAAUCCUUAUUACAUUAGCUCUGUUGCAUUGGAAAAUAGCAAAGACUGGUGGAUUAGGCGGAAAAUCCCAGUAAAGAAAUCACGGCUAAAAAUCAUAAGAUCAAUAACCAGAUUCGAGUAAAAUGGAAACCAUGUUGAGCACCAUUUCUUCAUUUGCAUGAAUGCUCGAUACGAAAAUAGUGAUACAUUAAAUAUAUAUAUAUAUANNNNNNNNNNNNNNNNNNNNNNNNNNNNNNNNNNNNNNNNNNNNNNNNNNNNNNNNNNNNNNNNNNNNNNNNNNNNNNNNNNNNNNNNNNNNNNNNNNNNUAUAUAUAAUGCCACUGAACUGCAAUUCAGAUCAAUAUUUAUUUUUUUAAUUCAAUUCCAUAUAAAAGGGGGUAAUUUUUUUUUUAAGAGCAGUUUGAACAAAUCAAUUAAAAUUAAAUCACUGGAUUACAACGCAAAUCAUUAUAACCCUAAAAAAUGGUAAAUUUUACAAUCACGUGAAUCUGAAGAAAUGGAUUCCAUAAAAUACCUUGAGGAUCUUGAGUUUAAGGCUUCCAUAAACAAGUCCAAAGGAGAAAGCAGAAGCCCGAGCAACCUGAAGUUUAGAAAAGUAAAAUUACUGAUACAAAGUGUAGAAUGAUUUUACAGUGAAAAAAACGGAAAAUAGAAAAUAGGGAAAGUACCAAAGCAAGGGUACUGGUUCCAGAAUAAGGUCCUGGUGGUGGUGCCAUUGGAUUACGAUUGUUGAGGAAAAGAGAGGAACAAAGGUACAAGAUUAUGAGUUUUUGGGAACACAACUCUGAACAAUAGAACCCUAGUUAUUAGUAAAAUAGUAAAAUGACUUACUUGUCCAACCUUAC
rnacentral:lncRNA from 1 species